UUUUGGGAUUGAUGGUGUUCCUCAGGUGGAAGAGGAGGAAAGGCCAGAGGACUAAAGCCGAAACCCCAGCCAGGGAACUCAUUGAAAACACUGAGAAAUGUGAGCAAGUUAAGCCCAAAGGACGAUAUGAGGACCCCAAAGAGAACCCCAAGGACAACAACAUCGUGUAUGCCUCCAUUGCCCUCUCAAGCCCGACCUCCCCAGGAACACCAGCCUGCCCGCCUGUCCAUGAGAACCCCCA